CCUACGGGUGGCAGCAGUUGGGAAUCUUGCGCAAUGGGGGCAACCCUGACGCAGCGACGCCGCGUGUGGGAUGACGGUUUUCGGAUCGUAAACCACUUUUCCCAGGGACGAUAGUGACGGUACCUGGGGAAUCAGCCCCGGCUAACUCCGUGCCAGCAGCCGCGGUAAGACGGAGGGGGCAAGCGUUGUCCGGAAUUACUGGGCGUAAAGCGCUCGUAGGCGGUCGCGUACGGCGGUGGUGAAAGCUCCCGGCUCAACUGGGAGAGGCCCGCCGCAACGGCGUGACUCGAGGGUGGUAGAGGCAAAUGGAAUUCCAGGUGUAGCGGUGAAAUGCGUAGAGAUCUGGAGGAACACCCGUGGCGAAGGCGGUUUGCUGGGCCAUGCCUGACGCUGAGGAGCGAAAGCUAGGGGAGCGAACGGGAUUAGAUACCCUUGUAGUC
rnacentral:rRNA from 1 species